rnacentral:rRNA from 1 species
UACCAGGACCCCGAGCGGUCGGGACGUUUAUUGGGCCUAAAGCAUCCGUAGCCGGUUCUACAAGUCUUCCGUUAAAUCCAGCUGCUUAACAGAUGGGCUGCGGAAGAUACUAUGGAGCUAGGAGGCGGGAGAGGCAAGCGGUACUCGAUGGGUAGGGGUAAAAUCCGUUGAUCCAUUGAAGACCACCAGUGGCGAAGGCGGCUUGCCAGAACGCGCUCGACGGUGAGGGAUGAAAGCGGGGGGAGCAAACCGG